rnacentral:rRNA from 1 species
AUUGAACGCUGGCGGCAGGCCUAACACAUGCAAGUCGAGCGAGCGGCGGACGGGUGAGUAAUGUCUGGGAAACUGCCUGAUGGAGGGGGAUAACUACUGGAAACGGUAGCUAAUACCGCACACCAUCAGAUCUGCCCAGAUGGGGUUAGCUAGGAGGUGGUGUAACGGCUCACCUAGGCGCCGAUCCCUAGCUGGUCUGAGAGGAUGACCAGCCACACUGGAACUGAGACACGGUCCAGACUCCUGCGGGAGGCAGCAGUGGGGAAUAUGGCACAAUGGGCGCAAGCCUGAUGCAGCCAUGCCGCGUGUGUUAAGAAGGCCUUCGGGUUGUAAAGCACUUUCAGCGGGGAGGCGGUACCCGGAGAAGAAGCACCGGCUAACUCCGUGCCAGCAGCCGCGGUAAUUG